CUUUCUAUAGAAAGUGGGAACAAUCAUGCAUAUGUCAUAAGUGUACUUCUCCUUAUUAUGAGACUCUGAUGUUGAAACCCACAGAAAACAGAAGAUGGAUGCUGUGAAAACAUCAGAAUGCUGGACUCUGGUGUUUGUCUGCCUCCUGCUGUCUGUAACUACAGGUGAGAUUUAAAUGUCCUUGUAAAGUAAGCAGCACCUGUAUCACCUGUGUGAUAGAAGAAAUGUUGUCCAAUCAGAAGCCAGAUAUAGUCUGAUGUAAGGAAAGGACUUUAAGAAAACUUUGCUUUAUUGUGUGACGUUUAUUUAUUUGAAGUUGGUCAAUCAGACGACAGUGACCUCUGAUCCUCUCUCUGAUUGGCUGCUGUAGAAGAGAACAGUUUAAACGUUGACCUUUAACCUCUCUGCUCUGUGUUGUUCCCUCUUUCAGAUCAGAAAAUCAUCACAGCUGAGUCCGGACAGAGCGUCACACUGCCGUGUCGAGCUCCACAUGACAGCAAAACCAUCACAGUAGUAGAGUGGAGCAGAACUGAUUUGGAGUAAGAACAUGUGGUUUUGUACCGAGAUGAACAGUUUGAUCCAAAUGAUCAGCAUCCAUCUUUUAAGAACCAGGUGGACCUGCAGGUCAACCUGAUGGUCAGUUUGUCACUUGUUGCUUGUUUCUUUUGUUGGUUUUCUAAACUACAAAAAACAUAAGUCAGGAUUCAUCCCAGCCUUCUCCUGCUGAACAAUGUGAGGUUGAAAUGUCUCUGAGCACAGCUGUGAUUCUUGAGUCUCCUGCUGCUGUUCCAGCUCCUGAGAGGUGACACAGAUCAUCCAGUGGAGACACACGAGGACAUCCUGGAUUUGCUGUUUAGCAUCUUUGUGAAAGACAUUUUCCUUUGGACAUGUUGGACUUUAACUAAAGAUGCUUUCAGUCCAAAAGUCGACGAUCAUCCAGAAAACAUUUUCAGCUUUAAUCCUGGUUUCAGGUGAAAGUUUGUCUUUAGCUCCUCACUGUCCUGAUGAGCUGCAUGAACACCAGCUGGAAGUCAGUUUGUUCAUGAGAAGUUUGGACUGUUUUUCUUUUAUAAAAAAUAUAAAAUAUGUAAAUUACAGACGUGUCCUGUUUCUGCUGUGAGUGUAGCUGUUAGCUCGUGACCUCCUGCUGAGCUGAAGCCUCAGACUGUUUCUGUAGUUUAAAUAGUUGAGACGUCAUUCAGACAUCUGUGUGUGUUCAUUAUAUGCAGCUUUUAUUUAUGUCAGUUUGAACAUUGCAUGUACUGUGAAACUCUUUAUUUAUAUAACAGAUUUUAUUCUUUUAUGCUGGCCAAUUAUGGGCUCAAAAUGUGGUCAUAAAUAUUUUGUACUUGUAAAUCAGGAUUUGUAUGUGUGAAAAGAUUUGUGUGUGGACUUAGCCACAAAAAAAGACAUGUGAAUAUUUGCAAGUUACAAGUACGAAUUUUGACCCUAUUUUUCUUCCUUUCAUCUGAUUGGUCAAUGUCAUGUCAAUCACAAAUGUAGCAAUCCAAUCAGAGAACAGAGGGGUUUGGCUGUCUGAGGGACACUUUUUUGAACCAAGAAUCAAACUGCAGGAAAACCUGAUGAAAAACCUGCUCACUGACUUUCUCUCACUUUAAGUCUCAAACUUCAAAAUUUACAGAUUUAUUCUCUUUAUCAAACAUAUAACAAGUUUGUGAUCUCUUUAUGCUGCCAAAAGAAAACCUAAAGAUCUACAAGAAAAGUUAUUAUGGUGGAGUCAACACAAGAUGGAGACACGUCAGUGUUUCAGUGUCACCAAGGAAGUUGUUUCAAAAGGAGUUUUUCCUCUUUAACUUUAACGUUAGAAAAAAGUAUUUAAACUUUUAUGACAGUCAUCAAAUUUAUAAAAACAACAUAAAUGCUGUCAAAUAGAUGCUGUUUGUUUUAAUUUGCUGAUGUGGUCAUUUGCAGGACGCCAAGAGGACAAAGAUCUUCAGCUUCCAGUAUAGUUAUGAGCUGCAGUCCUUUGGCAGACUGCAGGACUGUCUUUGUCCUCCUGUCUCAAAAAUAUAAAAGUCACUGUUUAAGAACAAAAAUCAGGAAGAACAAACAUCUGGACUUUAUUCAAUUUAAUUUUCAAUUCAAUUUUAUUUCUAAAGCGUCAAAUCACAACAACAGUCACCUCAAGGUGCUUUAUAUUGUACAGUAGAUCGCACAAUAAUACAUACAAAGAAAAACCCAACAAUCAUAUGACCCCCUAUGAGCAAGCACUUUGGCGACAGUGGGAAGGAAAAACUCCCUUUUAACAGGAAGAAACCUCUGGCAGAACCAGGCUCAGGGAGAGGCGGGGCCAUCUGCUGUGAUUGGUUGGGGUGAUCUCCACAUAUUAGCAUGCUGUUUUUGCUCCCAGAUAAAAUAUUUCAUAAAUAUGAAA
ensembl:lncRNA